rnacentral:rRNA from 1 species
CCUACGGGUGGCUGCAGUGGGGAAUAUUGCACAAUGGGCGCAAGCCUGAUGCAGCCAUGCCGCGUGUGUGAAGAAGGCCUUCGGGUUGUAAAGCACUUUCAGCGGGGAGGAAGGCGUUAAGGUUAAUAACCUUGUCGAUUGACGUUACCCGCAGAAGAAGCACCGGCUAACUCCGUGCCAGCAGCCGCGGUAAUACGGAGGGUGCAAGCGUUAAUCGGAAUUACUGGGCGUAAAGCGCGCGCAGGCGGUCUGUCAAGUCGGAUGUGAAAUCCCCGGGCCCAACCUGGGAACUGCAUUCGAAACUGGCAGGCUAGAGUCUUGUAGAGGGGGGGUAGAAUUCCAGGUGUAGCGGUGAAAUGCGUAGAGAUCUGGAGGAAUACCGGUGGCGAAGGCGGCCCCCUGGACAAAGACUGACGCUCAGGUGCGAAAGCGUGGGGAGCAAACAGGAUUAGAUACCCGGGUAGUC